rnacentral:rRNA from 1 species
CCUACGGGUGGCAGCAGUGAGGAAUAUUGGUCAAUGGGCGAGAGCCUGAACCAGCCAAGUCGCGUGAGGGAGUACUGCCCUAUGGGUUGUAAACCUCUUUUGUCGGGGAGCAAAAGCCGGACGUGUCCGGCUGUGAGAGGACCCGAAGAAAAAGCAUCGGCUAACUCCGGGCCAGCAGCCGCGGUAAUACGGAGGAUGCGAGCGUUCUCCGGAUUUAGUGGGUGUAAAGGGGGCGCAGGCGGAUUUUUAAGGCAGCGGUCAAAUCGUGGGGCUCAACCCCAUCCAGCCGUUGAAACUGGGGAUCUAGAGUGUGUGAGAGGUAUGCGGCAUGCGUGGUGUCGCGGUGACGUGCAUAGCU